AUUGAACGCUGGCGGCAGGCCUAACACAUGCACGUCGAACGGUAACAGGAAGCAGCUUGCUGCUUUGCUGACGAGUGGCGGACGGGUGAGUAAUGUCUGGGAAACUGCCUGAUGGAGGGGGAUAACUACUGGAAACGGUAGCUAAUACCGCAUAACGUCGCAAGACCAAAGAGGGGGACCUUAGGGCCUCUUGCCAUCGGAUGUGCCCAGAUGGGAUUAGCUAGUAGGUGGGGUAACGGCUCACCUAGGCGACGAUCCCUAGCUGGUCUGAGAGGAUGACCAGCCACACUGGAACUGAGACACGGUCCAGACUCCUACGGGAGGCAGCAGUGGGGAAUAUUGCACAAAGGGCGCAAGCCUGAUGCAGCCAUGCCGCGUGUAUGAAGAAGGCCUUCGGGUUGUAAAGUACUUUCAGCGGGGAGGAAGGGAGUAAAGUUAAUACCUUUGCUCAUUGACGUUACCCGCAGAAGAAGCACCGGCUAACUCCGUG
rnacentral:rRNA from 1 species